GAUGAACGCUGGCGGCGUGCCUAAUACAUGCAAGUCGAGCGAACAGAUGAGGAGCUUGCUCCUCUGACGUUAGCGGCGGACGGGUGAGUAACACGUGGAUAACCUACCUAUAAGACUGGGAUAACUUCGGGAAACCGGAGCUAAUACCGGAUAAUAUAUUGAACCGCAUGGUUCAAUAGUGAAAGACGGUUUUGCUAUCACUUAUAGAUGGAUCCGCGCCGCAUUAGCUAGUUGGUAAGGUAACGGCUUACCAAGGCAACGAUGCGUAGCCGACCUGAGAGGGUGAUCGGCCACACUGGAACUGAGACACGGUCCAGACUCCUACGGGAGGCAGCAGUAGGGAAUCUUCCGCAAUGGGCGAAAGCCUGACGGAGCAACGCCGCGUGAGUGAUGAAGGUCUUCGGAUCGUAAAACUCUGUUAUUAGGGAAGAACAAAUGUGUAAGUAACUAUGCACGUCUUGACGGUACCUAAUCAGAAAGCCACGGCUAACUACGUG
rnacentral:rRNA from 1 species